AGACGUCUACAUUAGAUACCCCUGUAGUCCCAGCCGUAAACAAUGUGCGUUAGGUGUGUCGGUAACCACGCGUUACUGAUGCGCCGAAGAGAAAUCGUGAAACGCACCACCUGGGAAGUACGGUCGCAAGGCUGAAACUUAAAGGAAUUGGCGGGGGAGCACCACAACAGGUGGAGCCUGCGGUUUAAUUGGAUUCAACGCCGGACAUCUCACCGGACAAGACAGCUGAAUGAUUGUCAAUCUGAAGGUUUUACAUGACUAGCUG
rnacentral:rRNA from 1 species